rnacentral:rRNA from 1 species
UACGUAGGGGGCAAGCGUUGUCCGGAAUCAUUGGGCGUAAAGAGCGCGUAGGCGGCCCAGUAAGUCCGCUCUGAAAGUCAGGGGCUCAACCCCUGAAUGCGGGUGGAUACUGCUGGGCUAGAGUCCGGAAGAGGCGAGUGGAAUUCCCGGUGUAGCAGUGAAAUGCGUAGAUAUCGGGAGGAAUACCGAUGGCGAAGGCAGGUCUCUGGGCUAUAACUGACGCUCAUGCACGAAAGCGUGGGGAGCAAACAGG